CUGGACUAGGAGCUCCUUGGAGCCUGCAUUUCAAUAAUCAUCUUUGUAUUCCAGGUAAAGACAAAAUCCGGGUUCUAUCCCAGUACAAAUCACAGAAGGCACACAUGCUGUGUAACACUUUUUUUUUUGUAAAAUGGGAAAGUACAAUUGAAUUUAAAAAUUAUUUUUAUUUAGAUGUUUUGUAUCUUUACCAUAAAGUGAUUGAUGAUUAGAAGCUGAGGAGAAUUGAUAACACAAGAAGAUAAUGCAUUUCGAAGAGGUUUUGGAAACAAACAGCAACAGAAAAAGAUUCUUCGCUAACUUUUGAGAAAGAAAUGAUCUCAAAAUACCCUUGUGUCUACUGAUAUUUCAAGGUAAGGGAAUGCUCUGGAAUGCUUCCCAUUUUCCAAAUGUAAUAUUUUCCAAAAUAAACUUGGGAGU
rnacentral:lncRNA from 1 species